GAAUGAAGAACGUAGCGAAAUGCGAUAAGUAAUGUGAAUUGCAGAAUUCAGUGAAUCAUCGAAUCUUUGAACGCACAUUGCGCCCGCCAGCAUUCUGGCGGGCAUGCCUGUUCGAGCGUCAUUUCAACCCUCGAGCCCCCCCGGGGGCCUCGGUGUUGGGGGACGGCACACCAGCCGCCCCCGAAAUGCAGUGGCGACCUCGCCGCAGCCUCCCCUGCGUAGUAGCACACACCUCGCACCGGAGCGCGGAGACGGUCACGCCGUAAAACGCCCAACUUCUUAGAGUUGACCUCGGAUCAGGUAGGAAUACCCGCUGAACUUAAGCAUAUCAAUAAGCGGAGGA
rnacentral:misc_RNA from 1 species